rnacentral:sRNA from 1 species
UCAUGCUUAUAGAUAAAUGGUUCCAAUAAAAAUAGAGUUAUGUACGAAAUAUACAUAUACCAUUAAUAGAAGGUUCUGCAUCCUGAAAGAAAUUUGAUUGAGAAAGAACUGUAUUUUUAAAACAUUUAAGUGUUCUGUUGUUAGUGCUGUUCUUGUUUAUUCUGUGAUUGUUUUCUGUUUCAUGGAUGUAGUUCUAAAGCUUGGUACAUGUUUAGAAAAUGGUCUGUGUGUGUGUCAAUCCAAUAAUUCAAGUAUUUUUCAGAAAAAAGAUCUUCCCUUUUCAAAUAUAUCUCCUCUUCCCAAUAAACACCGCUAGUAAUUUUUAUGAAUUAUAUCAUCAAAUAUGAAGUUUGCCUAAACUAAUGAAUUUACUCUGAUUCUCAGCAUCACAAAACCAAUUGUCAGACUUCUUGAAAAUGUCCUUUAACGGGAAUUUGUGAUCUUGUUUGGUAGGGAGACUGAGUUCUGAGGCCCGGUCAGGGCAAUUCUGGAGACUGGCGAAUAGAGGAAUGUCCUACUCCUCAAAACAUGGGGAAGUAUGAAUAAAUUUUCCAAUCCAUGAACACUGUCGAGAAGGAGUGAAUGCUCCAGUUAGUCAUCAACUUUAAUUCUUCAUGUUCAAUGAGAUAGGAAGUAUGAAUAAAUUUUCCAAUCCAUGNACACUAUCUACAAGGGUGAAUAUUCCAGUUAGUCACCAACUGAAACAUCUUCAUGUUCAAUGAGAUAGGAUUUACAGAGUCAUCUCCAAGAUAAAACCUAUACUAGUUGGGACAUCUAACGUAUGCUCUUCUUCAGAGUCGUUGAAAGAAUGAUGCAGUACCCUGUUUUCUGCCACAUCAGGAUAUACACAAGUCAUCACAAUUGUUAAAGAUCAAUGAGAAUCCUCUGAGGCUGCCUGACUGAAAUAAUGGAUGUUGCACUCCAAUUUAUAUAACUAAUAUGACUUUAUUAGUUGAAAUCUUGAAGCUGUGAAAGUGGCAACACACAGCCAGCAAGGAUUGGGGCAGUAUUUCUGGCAACAGUAAUUGAAGGUAACUCCUUUAGUAAUAAACAUUAACACUUUUAGAUUGUCCCAAAACACAUACUAGCUUUCAUUACAGCUCACCAAUUUCCUCUGUACCAUUGUGCUUAGAGGCUUUCUGAAAAGAAGACAGUUGUAAUCUUUGCUACUGAAUGCAUUAAGUGCUGAGAAUUCAACAUGAAGACCUCCCAUUCCUCUGAAAAUUAGUUUGGUUUUGCAUGUAGGACAAAGCUUUUCCUCCUUAAAGAAC